CCACCUAGGAGCCAGACCUGCUUCCAGGGCACAGCGCAGUGCCAGCCAGGACAGGGAAGUGUACCAGAUGCAAAGCAGAGAUCCGCAGAUACAAUCGGAGUACCCUGAAUAGACUUUUGGGAAACUGGCAGAUUCUUACAUCCCUUCCACCAUUUGGAAUUACAAACUGUGACUCACCUGUGCAUAGUUUUACCAGCUUUAACCUCUCAAUAACUCUCAUUUCCUUUUCUUAGCUAAUAAACCUUUACUUAGUUUACUAUAGAA